rnacentral:rRNA from 1 species
CGGGAGGCAGCAGUGAGGAAUAUUGGGCAAUGGAGGAAACUCUGACCCAGCCAUGCCGCGUGCAGGAAGACGGCCCUCUGGGUUGUAAACUGCUUUUAUAUGGGAAUAAACCCUUCCACGUGUGGAAGGCUGAAGGUACCAUAAGAAUAAGGAUCGGCUAACUCCGUGCCAGCAGCCGCGGUAAUACGGAGGAUCCAAGCGUUAUCCGGAUUUAUUGGGUUUAAAGGGUCCGUAGGCGGGUCUUUAAGUCAGUGGUGAAAGCCUGCAGCUUAACUGUAGAAUUGCCAUUGAUACUGAAGGCCUUGAGUGUAGUAGAAGUAGGCGGAAUAUGGCAUGUAGCGGUGAAAUGCAUAGAUAUGCCAUAGAACACCGAUUGCAAAGGCAGCUUACUAUGUUACAACUGACGCUGAGGGACGAAAGCGUGGGUAGCAAACAGGAUUAGAUACCCUGGUAGACCACGCCGUAAACGAUGAUUACUCGCUGUUAGCGAUAUACAGUUAGCGGCCAAGCGAAAGCAUUAAGUAAUCCACCUGGGGAGUACGCCGGCAACGGUGAAACUCAAAUGAAUUGAC